rnacentral:rRNA from 1 species
UACAGAGGGUGCGAGCGUUGUCCGGAAUCACUGGGCGUAAAGGGCGCGUAGGCGGCAUCUUAAGCGUGGGGUGAAAGCGCGGGGCUCAACCCCGCGGCGGCCGUGCGAACUGGGGAGCUGGAGCACGGCAGAGGCAGGCGGAAUUCCGGGUGUAGCGGUGGAAUGCGUAGAGAUCCGGAAGAACACCGGUGGCGAAGGCGGCCUGCUGGGACGUGGCUGACGCUGAGGCGCGACAGCGUGGGGAGCAAACAGG